rnacentral:lncRNA from 1 species
CCGGCCCGCCUCUCCGUGUGCGCGAAGCUCAGGGACGCCGGGGGUCCUGUCUGGAGGCUCAGACUCCCCGGCGUUUCGCGCUGCUCAGUGUUAGCGACCUCUGCCCGGGGCCCGAGAGCCGCUUGGGCCAAGGCGCCCGGGGCCGGCCAGUGAAGACGACCCUGGUGUGGGCAAGGAGCAGGAGCGCUGGACCGCCGGAGGGAUCAGCGUCGCCCGAGGAAUGGCCUGGCGGACAUGUGGCUGGGGGUCACCUGGAAACUCAAGAGAAGUGAAAUAAAUUUUGAGGCAAUUGUCUGCUGUACACCAUCUGAUUCCAGAGAAUUUGCUACAAAUCUAUGAACAAGUAAACUUCCAGAGAUGAAAUGCCCAGUAGGAGACAUGGACCUCUAUAAAGGAUUGGACAUCCUGGAGCCAUCACGGCUGCUCUCUGGAAAGAGUCACAAUGUCAUCAGCAUAGAAAGGCUCUGAGAAGUCCUACAGCAAAAGAAGAAGAAAACUUAGUUUACUCAUAUUUCCUAAAUGUAUUUGACUAUAGAACCCUUCUCUCAACAUGAUACUUAUUAAUAUCCAC